ACAAUUUACUUUCAAUUCACUGAUUGCUUUGCAUAAGUCCCUCCAGCCCAGGCUGGCUGCCAGAUUUUAUAAACAGGACCUUUGCAAUGUGAGCUGAUCAGCAUCAGGCAGGCAGGGGCAGCAAGAUGGUGCCACAGACUCUGUUCCUCAUGUCCUUGUUACUCUGGGCCUCUGGUGCGAGCGGGGACAUUGUGCUGACCCAGUCUCCAGCCUCUCUGGCUGCGUCCCCAGGAGAAACGGCCACCAUCAACUGCAAGUCCAGUCAGAGUGUGAGAAAAUACUUAGCCUGGUACCAGCAGAAACCAGGACAGGCUCCUAAGCUGCUCAUCUACAGUGCAUCUAACCGGGCAUCUGGGGUCCCUGACCGGUUCAGUGGCAGUGGGUCUGGGACAGACUUCACUCUCACCAUCAGCAACCUCCAGGCUGAAGAUGUUGCAGUUUAUUAUUGUCAGCAGUAUUAUAGCUCUACUCCCACAGUGCUUCAGCCUCGAACACAAACCUCCUCCCCAGGGCUACAGGCCAGUGAGUCUUCACUGCACCAGCUGCUUCCUUUCUGCUCAGCCCUGAACGUGCACCCUUCCUCAGACUAUCCCAAAGGCCACAUCUCCUGACUAAUUCCUUGGAGUAUUUGCACGACCCAGGAGAAAAUUCAGGGAUAUGGCUUCUUCUGGAUCAGCUUUUGUGUUCUGCAACCAACAUAGGCAGAUCUCCUUGCAGCUCCUAGAAGCUGAGGGAAGAAGAAGGUUCAGUCA